UGCAAGUCGAGCGGGCACCUUCGGGUGUCAGCGGCAGACGGGUGAGUAACACGUGGGAACGUACCCUUCGGUUCGGAAUAACGCUGGGAAACUAGCGCUAAUACCGGAUACGCCCUUAUGGGGAAAGGUUUACUGCCGAAGGAUCGGCCCGCGUCUGAUUAGCUAGUUGGUGGGGUAACGGCCUACCAAGGCGACGAUCAGUAGCUGGUCUGAGAGGAUGAUCAGCCACACUGGGACUGAGACACGGCCCAGACUCCUACGGGAGGCAGCAGUGGGGAAUAUUGGACAAUGGGCGCAAGCCUGAUCCAGCCAUGCCGCGUGAGUGAUGAAGGCCUUAGGGUUGUAAAGCUCUUUUGUCCGGGACGAUAAUGACGGUACCGGAAGAAUAAGCCCCGGCUAACUUCGUGCCAGCAGCCGCGGUAAUACGAAGGGGGCUAGCGUUGCUCGGAAUCACUGGGCGUAAAGGGCGCGUAGGCGGCCAUUCAAGUCGGGGGUGAAAGCCUGUGGCUCAACCACAGAAUUGCCUUCGAUACUGUUUGGCUUGAGUAUGGCA
rnacentral:rRNA from 1 species